rnacentral:lncRNA from 1 species
AUUCGAAUAUUAUUGGGAAAAUAACCAAAAAAAAUUGAAUCUUUCUAAAAUAUAGAACCCUAGAUGACCUCCUAAAUUUAGUUUAUACUUAAAAUCAACCGUACACACAAGUGACUUGUCAAUCAACUCACUUUUUUUUUUAAUACUGUUAUACAUGACUGUUAUUGAUAUUACAUCAGAUAUUACAAUUAAUAUUUACAAACAGAUUAUAUAAUUGGGACAUUCGUCAUGGCAUGUACUCCUCUAAAGCGAGACCCAGAUUCUUUAAACUCUCUCUAAUAUUCGCGGGGUAUCCACUUCACUCACAUUUCGUGAGGAAUAGACUGGUUCCACUCAAUUAUUUGAUAAUCGAGGGAGAACUAAAACUAACUAUCAUAAUGCUUUUAUGGAAGCUUGAACCCUUACUCUCAAUAUUGCAAGUGCAAGGGUUCUCCUACUGGAUCAAAGGCCCAUUGGUGUCAAUCAACCCACUUAAACAUUGGGAUUGUGAAAGGCAUAGGAUAUCUAAGAUGUCAAAAGUAAAUGAUAAGUUGUAGUCUCCACAAGUGUAUUUUUCACAAACACAAAGUUAUAGAGCACAUCAAUUUAACUUUCUUCAUACAUAAAGUAAAACAAAAAGAGUUAUUAUUAUUUGACUAUUUUAGAAAUUAUAAAAUAUCAAAUAAUUAUAAAAAAUAUUAGUGUAUAUUAUUUUGCUACUAUAUCUUUGUAAAAUGCUUCAUUUUACUAAUGUUUAACACUAUGCCCUUACUUUAAAAAUUAAUUAAAUUUUUAAUAAAAUAAAAGUCUAAGAAAAAAAAAUCAAAGCCAGCUGAAGAAUAUGUGUGAUUAAUUAUCUUUCUUCUGUGCUAAAUUGCUAAUCUUGCUCUCAUCAAAAUAUCAAAUUGAAACCGUUAUUAAAGCUUGAAGAUAGCAAAUUGAAAUUGCCAUCAAAGCUUGAAGAUUAAUAUGCUUUUUAUCAAUCUCAGUUUCUAUUUUGUCAGAAUCCUUUAAACUCGUAAUAAUAAAACCAUCAUUCCAUAACCAAAUCAAAAUAAUCAAUUGAAAAACAAAUCUAAAAAAAAUAAUAUGUAAAACACACUUCCAAAUUUAUCUUGUAUCCCUAGAGAUAAAUUAUAAACAAAAAUAAAGAAAUUCCACACCCACGACUAUCAUGUAAAUUCCUCCAAUUCUUCUUUGAGAUGACACUCAUCAAUGUCAUGCAUGGCUUGUAUGCAUUAAAAAAUUUUAAGAAGAAGAUGAUGACACUGGAUAUUUAGGACUCACGUAAUCCCUUUUUUUUUCCUUGUUUUUUAACCAAUAAUAACUGUACUGCCCUUGUAAUUUUAAAGUACAUACAAUUAUAUCUUGGUUUUGAAUGUAAGGAUACUUUUACCCCUAUAAUGUUAGCAUGACAUCAAUGUUGGAUUAUUUGUUUUGUGUUAAUAAAAACAUUGUAAAAUAAAAGGUUUUUCAAAGAUACAGUAGUCAUUUGAUAUUUUAUAAUUUUUGAAAUAGUUAAUAGAUAAUAAUCCAAACAAAAAUGAUUUGUUCUUUCACAUUCUCAUAGAAAAUGUGAACCAAGUUUUAUUAAUUUUUGUUCCCAUAAAAUAGAAAAUGACUCAAACGCAUAUUAGAAUUCAAUGCCGAGCUUUACUUUUGCCAAACAAAUAAUCAAUACUAAGAUUUAUUUUGUGCUUUUAUUUUUUUUUAUUUCUCUUACCGAAUAACUAUUAAUUCAGUACUCAUCUAAAUACUAAAUCAUUUUCCUUAAGACACACUUGACUUGAGUAUAGUUAGGGAUGGCAAUAGGGAGGCGAGUUGAGGGAAGGGGACCGACAUCUCGGUAUCUAUCCCCGAUAUCCCGCAUAUGUUCCUAUUCCUUCCCCAUCCAUGUUAGAAUUACCUGAGGGGAUGGAAUGGGGUCUCCAAAUAAUAACAAAGGGUCCCGAGAAUCCUAGAUCACCAAGUAGUUGAUACGUUUUUUUAGUUUCUUAACUUAAAUGAGAACGAUCAUGAAUGGGUCUUAUUUCAUUCUACUCCAUCAAACUUUGGGUAUAUAUAAUAUUUAAAUAAUGCUUUUUAAAAAAUUCAAAUAAUGUGAUUUUUUAUAUAAUAUUGACGUGAAUGUUAUCCGUGAGCAAUGAUACAUUGAUACCUCUUGGUCACUAACUAAGGCAUGAAAAACACUGCGAGCUAGGCUACUUUGCCCCUAAUGACGCGAUGUGCCACUAAGAUAUGAUGAGAUAAAGACAAGGUAGUUCUGGCUGCAGCGAAAAUAAUUUAGAAAUGAUAAGUGAGACCACGAGAGAGUGGCUUAGAGCUUGAUUUGUGGAUUAUAAGUUUGCGAGGUUGUGGACUUUAGGCAGUGGUUAAGUUUAAAUUACAUUAAAGUCUUUAUAUUAACUAAUAUUUAUCUUAUUUGUAUAAAUAUUUUGAUAUUGUUAUUUACCUAAGUAUCUAAUAUUUUACAAUUUAAAUUUUAUUAUUUAUUCCAUAAUAAUUCUACAAAAAUAAAAAUAAAAUAAAAAAUUAAAAUGGGGAAAAGGGAAGAUAGGGCAGUAAUGGGGAUUCCAACUUAUUCUCAUUCAUUCCCUGAAUAAGAAAUUAGAUAAAAAAAUAGUGUUUUCCCUCCCUCAAAUAAGAGAUUAAAUAUAAAAUUAUCUAUAUACCCUUCUCAAAUGAGAUAGGGUUAUUAUCAUUUCACUACUUCAAAAAUUAAUAAAUAUCAAAUGACUACAAGAAGUAUUGUCCCCUAUGACUUUCCUAUUAUAUUUUUACAAAAAAAAUAUCAUUUUACUACUUUUCUGUUACAACCGUUAGUUGACUAACAAAAUACCAAUUUUACCCUUCAUGAUUAAAAAAAAUACUUGAAGCUUAUUUACAAAAUCAGUUCUUUCACAUUUAUUGGAUCAUCCAAGUUUUAUUUCCAACGUUAGGAUAUAGAUAUGGAAUAAUUUAUAAGAUAAAUUUGUAAUCAAUAUAUCAUAAUUCUAGCAAAAAGAAUUAUGUUGGUAUUUUGUAUCUAUUUUUAUAAAUGGAUUACAAAUUCGUCUUAUUAAUGAUUCCAUUUUUAUAUUUUAAUGUUGGAAAUGAAACUUAGAUGAUCGAAUAAAUGUUGAAGAGCUGAUUUUGUAAAUAAGCUUCAAGUAUUUUUUUUUUUAAUCAUAAAAGGUAAAAUCGGUAUUUUGUUAGUCAACUAACUGGUCAACUAACGGUUGUAACAGAAAAGUAGUAAAAUGAUAUUUUUUAUAAAAAUGUAGUAGGAAAAUGAUAGAAGACAAUACUUCUUGUAAUCAUUUGAUAUUUGUCAAUUUUUAAAGUAAUAAAAUGAUAAUAACCCAAUGAAAAAAAUCCCUCAAGACCCCAUCCCCAUAGGAUUUUGCCUUCCCUAAUUGUGGUAUUCUAUGUUCUAUACACAAAAUUGAGACUAGUGUUAAACUUGAAGACGUAUUGGUUACCUUAGCAUGGGCUACUAUAAGGAUGAAAAUGAUAAUUACCUUAAGGCCAUGUUUGCUUCCAGGUAGAGGAGUGAGGAGAGGAAAAGAAUUUGAUUUUUUUUUUCCACUUUCCACUGUUUGGUUGGAUCAAAGUUUGAAGGAAUUGAAUUUCCAUUAAAAUUCAAUUUUCAUCAAAUUGAAGAACUUGUAUUCCGCAUCAAUGGGUAAGGAUUUCAAAUUCCUCAUCUAUUGGAUUAUUAAAUUUCAAUAUUAUCCUCUACAUAAAAUUAAUUUUAAAUAAGUUAAAGUGCAAAUAAUUUAUAUUUAUUUUCUUAAAUUAAUAGGAUAAACUUAUUUGAAAAAAGAAAAAGUAGUAAAGUGAUCGUCGGACAGUCACCGGAGACUCGUCGGAGUUACACCGGAGACGCGCUUCACCCAAAAUCGGUACCAAUGGAAUCCUCAUGAGCCGAUCUACAACUCCAUGAAAUUAGAAAUGCUAAUACACGUUGUUAUUUACCUCAAAUCGUGUUUACAUGUUUGGAAAAUUUUUAACUCUCAUAUUUUCGACCAUAUACUGUAUUUUCUGCAAGAUAACACUUCCCAUGAGUAAAUCGUCCAUUUUCGAUCAUUAUUAUGUAUUUAAUGCAAUAAAAUAAAUGGCGGUCAAUGCCGGCGGCGAUCAACUGUUGUGGAGGACCUGAUGCUGUAAUUUAAAAAUAAAUAAAAUUCUCUAU